UGAAUGGACUAGAGACGUGUUUCUUUGGCCUUGGAGGUACAUAUAUGGAGUUGGAUUGCACUGCUGUUGAUGUGUUCAGACUGGCAAAUGUGACGCCGCUUGUCAUUUGCAUAAGGACCAGCUAGCCUACAGGAAGCACAAACCGGCUGUGGUAGCAGAUGUUGGUGCCCUGCUGAUCUGGCAAGGGCGGAGCCACCAGUGCACACCUGCUAGCAAUUAACUUCCUGGCCGUCUUAAGCAUCGCAGAAGGACCUUCUCAUUGCCAAAUUGUACCUCAAACUUCAUCCACUCUCCCCUCAACUUGGCUUCGUUAUUUCCCUUGCUUGUGAAGUAGCAUUCUGGUUUUUAGCUGUACUACACUGUGAGUAUUUGUUUCCCUCUUGGGUUCUCCAGCGGCGCCUUGUUUUGUGCUUCAGCUAACGUGCUUAUCUGCCUGGCCUUUCCAGCAGCUACCUUAGUUUUUCCCAGUAUCUGUAUUUUUUCCUGCCAGCCUUUUUCCCUGGCAGUGUUUUGUGUUUGUCCUUUUUUGAGUGGCUUUGCCUUGGUUUUGUGUUUGGACUCAAUUAUUAUCCUUUUUUUGUUGUAUGUAUUUUUGCGCCGUUGGAGGACUCUCUUGUAUUAAAACAUUUUUUGUUGUACAUCGGACUGUGUUUCCUCUGCAUUCUGGGAUCCAACACCGGCUCACACUGUUUCAUGACAGUAAC